GUUAGUGGCGGACGGGUGAGUAACGCGUGAGAUCUGCCCUCAGGAGGGGGAUAACGGCUGGAAACGGCCGCUAAUACCCCAUAUGCCGAGAGGUGAAAUGAAACUCGCCUGAGGAUGAGCUCGCGUCUGAUUAGCUAGUUGGUGGGGUAAGAGCCUACCAAGGCUUCGAUCAGUAGCUGGUCUGAGAGGAUGAUCAGCCACACUGGGACUGAGACACGGCCCAGACUCCUACGGGAGGCAGCAGUGGGGAAUUUUCCGCAAUGGGCGAAAGCCUGACGGAGCAACGCCGCGUGAGGGAUGAAGGCCUCUGGGCUGUAAACCUCUUUUAUCAAGGAAGAAGAUCUGACGGUACUUGAUGAAUAAGCCACGGCUAAUUCCGUGCCAGCAGCCGCGGUAAUACGGGAGUGGCAAGCGUUAUCCGGAAUUAUUGGGCGUAAAGCGUCCGCAGGCGGCCUCGUAAGUCUGUCGUUAAAGCGUGGAGCUUAACUCCAUUUCGGCGAUGGAAACUGUGAGGCUUGAGUGUGGUAGGGGCAGAGGGAAUUCCCGGUGUAGCGGUGAAAUGCGUAGAUAUCGGGAAGAACACCAGUGGCGAAGGCGCUCUGCUGGGCCAUAACUGACGCUCAUGGACGAAAGCCAGGGGAGCGAAAGGGAUUAGAUACCCCUGUAGUCCUGGCCGUAAACGAUGAACACUAGGUGUCGGGGGAAUCGACCCCCUCGGUGUCGUAGCCAACGCGUUAAGUGUUCCGCCUGGGGAGUACGCACGCA
rnacentral:rRNA from 1 species